ensembl:lncRNA
CAACAAAAGAGGAAGCUUUUGUAUCUCCGUGCCGGUGGACAGCCUUGGCUGUUUGUGUGCUGGUGCGCUGCCAUGCUGGAGCUAUUGAUUGUGGCGCGUCUGAAGGUCCCUCCUGUUAUGCAGCCCCUAAGGGUUGUACCCCCAAAUCGAUACCCGGUACACAAAUACCCCAGAGCUCUGUGUUCUGGACAGAGUGGCGGGCGGGGCCUGAGAGUUUACCAGCCCUGCAGCAUCUGGGAGAGUCUGUUCACAGGCCUGUGGCUAUACAUGGAUCCCGUGGAUGUAGGGCUCUGGUUCCUCUAUCCUGAUGCUGAUUAAAUUCAAACCGAAGACGUGUUGCUGUGGUGGCCAGGCGUCCUGGGAAACACAGCAUCUGUGGGUGUCAUGCCCUUGGUUGCAC